UUUACAGGAGUGAUCACUGGCAUGUUCCCCCUCACUGCACAAAAUGGCCGACAGAGCUAAAAAUCAAAAAAUCUUGUCAAGCUUUCACAGGUCAAAAUACUGGUGGGAUUUCAACCAAACUUUACAGAAGUGAUGAGUACCAUCUCUAGUUGUACACAUCUACAGCACAUUCUGUUUUGCUGCACAAAAUGGCUGCCAGACCUUAAAAUAGAAAAAUCUUGUCUGGCCUUCACAGGUCAAACUACUUGUGUGAUUUCAACCAAACUUUACAGGAGUGAUCAGUACCAUACCCAGUUGUUCACAAUAAUGACAUGUUCUGCUUUGCUGCACAAAAUUGCCACCAGAGCUAAAAAUACAAAAAUCUUGUCCGGCCUUUACAGGUCAAAAUUCUGGUGGGAUUUCAACCAAACUUUACAGCAGUAAUCAGUACCAUCCGUAGUUGUGCACAUCACUGGCACGUUCCCCUUCACUGCAGAAAAUGGUCGCCAGAGCUAAAAAUAGAAAAAUCUUGUCCAGCCUUCACUGGUCAAACUACUAGUGGGUUUUCAACCAAACUUUACAGGAGUGAUCAGUACCAUCAGUAAUUGUGCACAUCACCGGCAUGUUCCGCUUCACUGCACAAAAUAGCUGCCAGGGCUAAAAAUAGAAAAAUCUUUUCUUGCCUUCACAGGUCAUACUACUGAUGGGAUUUCAACCAAACUUUACAGGAGUGAUCAGUAUUGCCAUAUUGUGGGCAGUCUUUCUUCAAAGGAAGAAAAACCAAUAUCAUAAGUUGCAGAAAGUUUAGCCAAUGACUACCACUGAAUUUUUGAAUUGCUGAAUUUUAAAAGUUUUAAAUGAGAACACAUUUUCAUUUGCCAAAAAAUAUUACUUGUAAUUUAUGUUAAAGCUUAGAUAUUUUGCAUGAAGCAUGCCUUGUUGACAUCCACAAAAUUUAUAUAAAUCAUGCUCUGACAAGGUGUCAGUUUGUCCCUGCACCACUGAGUCACAUAGAUAGAAAAACUAUUCAUCAGGCUUCGCGAAAGUUGCCGGACUGUCGGACAUGUCCGGCAAAAAUCAGGCCGGUCCGAUAUUUUUUUUCGGAGUUCCGGACCUUAUGUCCGGUACGAAUACCGGGAUAUAUCCAAGACCGAUCAAGACCGAAGUUUCUCCCUUGAAUAAAAAAAUGUAAACCGAGUUUUGAUUCGCCGUUUCAUUAUAAGUGUCCAAUCAAAUUCUAGAUACAUACGACUGUCAAUAACCAAAAUGUCGAUGUUAUUAUCCCCCGCCGAUGGAAUCGGGAGGGGGAUAUAGUUUUGGCGUUGUCCGUCCGUCUGUCCAUCCAUCCAUCCGUCCGUUCGAAUUUCGUUUCCGGAGUAGUUCUCUGCAACUACUGGCUGGAAUUCAACGAAACUUUAUGGGAAUCAUCAAUAUCAAGAGGAGAUGCGCAUCUGACCGUCCGUUCGUCCGUCCGUCCAUCCGUCCGAAUUUCGUUUCCGGAGUAGUUCUCUGCAACUACUGGCUGGAAUUCAACGAAACUUUAUGGGAAUCAUCAAUAUCUAGAGGAGAUGCGCAUAUCAUCGGCUUGUUCCGGUCAGACCCUUUAACUCAGAGUUAUGGCCCUUGAUUAGUUAUGCAGUAUGCAUAUGGAGUAAAAAUCGUUUCCGCGCUACUUCUCUGCAACUACUGGCUGGAAUUCAACGAAACUUUAUGGGAACCUUCAAUACCAAGAGGAGAUGCGCAUGUCGUAGGCUUGUUCGGGUCAGACACUUUAACUCAGAGUUAUGGCCCUUGAUUAGUUAUGAAAUAUGCAUAUGGAGUAAAAAUUAUUUCCGGAGUAGUUCUCUGCAACUACUGGCUGGAAUUCAACGAAACUUUAUGGGAAUCAUCAAUAUCAAGAGGAGAUGCGCAUAUCGUCAGCUUGUUCCGGUCAGACCCUUUAACUCAGAGUUAUAGCCUUUGAUUAGUUAUGUAGUAUGCAUAUAGAGUAAAAAUCGUUUCCGCACUACUUCUCUGCAAGUAGUGGCUGGAAUUCAACAAAACUUUAUGGGAACCUUCAAUACCAAGAGGAGAUGCGCAUAUCAUCGGCUUGUUCCGGUCAGACACUUUAACUCAGAGUUAUGGCCCUUGAUUAGUUAUGCAGUAUCUAUAUAGAAAAAUAUUUGUUUCCUCGCUACUUCUCUGCUACCACCGGCUGGAAUUCAAUGAAACUUUAUGGGAUACUAAGAGGAGAUGUGCAUAUAGUCGCCUUGUUCCAGUCAGAUACUUAUAACUCAGAUUUAUGGCCCUUGAUUAGUUAUGUAGUAUGCAUACAUCUCAUUGGCAUUUCCAGAUUUUACUAUUUAACACAAAGUUAUGGCUCUGUUAUUUCCCUGAAUAUUUAUCAAGUUCAAAGAAUAUUACUGUUUAUGCCAUGAUUAAUAUAUAAAUAAAGCCUUAUGUAUUCAGUUGUUGUGUUAAUAAUAACCAGCACUCGGCGAGGGAUAUAAAUUCAACGAAUUAGCUUGUUACAUUAUUACGCUGGCGCUACGCCCGGCAAAAAUCGUAAACUAACCAAUGAAGAAAAAAAAGCGAAACAAAAGGAAUACGAGUCCAGGCGCCCGCCGAGAAUUUGUGGGUAAAUGGAAAAAUGGCCGCUUUGAUCAUGAAUGUUUUGAUUUCCAGACAGAGUCCAUCAAUCUGGAUAAACUAAUGUUUUAUUUAAGGGAAUAAAAUUGUGUUGCAAAUCUUUAAAAGUUGUUAUGUCUUUAAAAAAAACACAAAGGUAUUACCAUAUACAUAUAUUUGAAAAAAAAAUUCGAUCAGACAAAAGUUCUUUCGGUCAGACAAGAAUUGAAAGUUUGUCUGACCGAAUGUCAGGCAAAUUUUUCAGCAGUUUCGCGAAGCCUGUUUUCAUGUAUGUAUUCUUUUAUAAUGUUAAUAAUUCCAGUUUAUAGUUAUUUGGCAUGUAUCAUUACAUAGAAGAACCCUGCAGUUAUUCCAAAAAUCAUUUCACUGAUAUUAAAAAAUGGCUGUGCCCAUUUAGUUGGUGGGGAGAUUGGUAGGUUUUGCACAGUUUACAUGUAAACAGGUUUAUAUAGUAUAUAUGUUUUGAAAGUCUUUUCUUCAAACCUACAACAUGCAGAGCAUAGAUUUGCAUGUAUCAUCACAUUUUAAAAGUAGAAUUAUCAGUUUUAUAGAAAUAAAGAACAUAAGAUGGAUGUUUUGAUGGUAUAAAUGUAAUGGAAGGUAAUAAAACAGGAGUAAAUUAUUUGUAAGCAUAGCAUUUUUAGCUCGACUAUUCGAUAAGAAUAAGUAGAGCUAUUGUAGUCACCCGAGCGUCGGCGUCGGCGUAACCACUUAUGUUAAAGUUUUUGUAAUAGUUCAAAUAUUUUCAAAGUCCAUUGACAUAUGGCUUUGAAACUUGCACACUUGUUCACCAUCAUGACCCCAACCUGUAGACAGGAGGAGGUAACUCUAUCAAGCAUUUUGACAGAAUUAUGCCCCUUUUUCGACUUAGAAUUUAUGUUAAAGUUUUU